rnacentral:rRNA from 1 species
UGCCAGCAUCCGCUGUACUCCUGAUUUUGCAAUCGUUAAUCGGAAUUACUGGGCGUAAAGCGCGCGUAGGCGGUUUGUUAAGUGAGAUGUGAAAGCCCAGGGCUCAACCUUGGAACUGCAUCUCAUACUGGCAGGCUAGAGUACGGUAGAGGGGGGUAGAAUUCCAUGUGUAGCGGUGAAAUGCGUAGAGAUGUGGAGGAAUACCAGUGGCGAAGGCGGCCCCCUGGAUCGAUACUGACGCUAAGGUGCGAAAGCGUGGGGAGCAAACAGGAUUAGAUA